rnacentral:sRNA from 1 species
CCCAGGGUGGAGCAACGCGCAACCCUGGGCUACGCUCUGCCGCCCCUACGGGGCU